GCCGGGCGUGGUGGCAUGUGCCUGUAAUCCCAGCUAUUCGGGAGGCUGAGGCUGGAGGAUCUCUGGAGUCCAGAAGUUCUGGGCUGCAGUGAGCUAUGCCAAUUAGGUGUCCGCACUAAGUUCGGCAUCAAUAUGGUGACCUCCCAGGAGUGGGGGACUACCAGGUGGCCUAAGGAGGGGUGAACCAGCCCAGGUCAGAAACAGAGCAGGUCAAAACUCCCAUGCUGAUGAGUAGUGGGAUCACGCCUGUGAACAGCCACUGCACUCCAGCCUGGGCAACAUAGCCAGACCCUGUCUCUU
ensembl:misc_RNA Metazoa_SRP Metazoan signal recognition particle RNA